rnacentral:rRNA from 1 species
GAUGAACGCUGGCGGCGUGCCUAAUACAUGCAAGUCGAGCGAACAGACGAGGAGCUUGCUCCUCUGACGUUAGCGGCGGACGGGUGAGUAACACGUGGAUAACCUACCUAUAAGACUGGGAUAACUUCGGGAAACCGGAGCUAAUACCGGAUAAUAUAUUGAACCGCAUGGUUCAAUAGUGAAAGACGGUUUUGCUGUCACUUAUAGAUGGAUCCGCGCCGCAUUAGCUAGUUGGUAAGGUAACGGCUUACCAAGGCAACGAUGCGUAGCCGACCUGAGAGGGUGAUCGGCCACACUGGAACUGAGACACGGUCCAGACGCCUACGGGAGGCAGCAGUAGGGAAUCUUCCGCAAUGGGCGAAAGCCUGACGGAGCAACGCCGCGUGAGUGAUGAAGGUCUUCGGAUCGUAAAACUCUGUUAUUAGGGAAGAACAAAUGUGUAAGUAACGAUGCACGUCUUGACGGUACCGAAUCAGAAAGCCACGGCUAACUACGU